ensembl:misc_RNA
AAGGAAGGAGAGGCUGUUUCUACAGGUGUCAUAGAAAAAUCAAUACUGAGCCACGGAUUAUUGGAUCCCAUAGAAGCAUGGAGACUUGGCAGUGAAAUUCUUCCAAAGG